UACGUAGGGGGCUAGCGUUGUCCGGAUUUAUUGGGCGUAAAGAGCGUGUAGGCGGCCAGGUAGGUCUGCUGUGAAAACUCGAGGCUCAACCUCGAGACGUCGGCGGAAACCAUCUGGCUAGAGUCCGGAAGAGGAGAGUGGAAUUCAUGGUGUAGCAGUGAAAUGCGUAGAGAUCAUGAGGAAGACCAGUGGCGAAGGCGGCCUCCUGGGCCAGCACUGACGCUCAUGCACGAAAGCGUGGGGAGCAAACAGG
rnacentral:rRNA from 1 species